CCUACGGGGGGCUGCAGUGGGGAAUAUUGCGCAAUGGGCGAAAGCCUGACGCAGCAAUACCGCGUGAGUGAGGAAGGCCUUCGGGUUGUAAAGCUCUGUCAGGGUGGAAAAAUAGCAGUUUUUCUAACAGGGAGAUUGUUUGAUGGUACACCCAAAGGAAGCACCGGCUAACUUCGUGCCAGCAGCCGCGGUAAUACGAAGGGUGCAAGCGGGCGUCGGAUUUAUUGGGCCGAAUAAGCGCGCAGGCGGAGAAAUCUCGGGGCUCAACCCCGAAGCUGCGUCUGAAACUACUAAUCUAGAAUGCUGGAGAGGGAAGGGGAAUUUCUCAUGUAGGGGUAAAAUCCGUAGAGAUGAGAAGGAACACCAGAGGCGAAGGCGCCUUCCUGGCCAGAUAUUGACGCUGAGGCGCGAAAGCGUGGGGAGCAAACAGGAUUAGAUACCCUAGUAGUC
rnacentral:rRNA from 1 species